CACGGGGCCUGGGAGCCGUUUCUCCUACCUGAGGGAAGCAGCCACACGCCAGACCGCGCCUGCUGGGCCCAGAGGAACGUUAGUCAGGCAGCUUUGAGUUCAGGAGUCGCUGCCCUGGCAACAGCACAGAAACUGCUUUCUGCCCGUAACUUUCUCAGAGAGCUUCGCGGUCUGUGGCUGUAGGUUCAUCCCUCCUCUGCCUCUUCAGCCUGGUCUGUCUGGCCAGGAUCCCUGACUUGCUCGGACCCCUCCUCCGUCCUAUUGGCUGUUGGCGUUUGUUCUACCAAGAUAGCUACUUUUACAUCCCUCGGUUUUACAGUACUGGGAAGACGUGGUAUCUCGACCUCUUAAAAUGGCUCUGAAGAGGCUGGUGCUGCACACCCACUUCCAGGAUGUGUGCCACUCGACGGUCACCCAGAAGCCCUCCAGUCACCCCCAGAUCCUGAGGGCCCAAGGACAGUGUAAAAAGGCACAGUGAGAGGGACUGUCAACCAGUGCUAAAGGCAGGAUGUUUGGAGAAGAGGCCUCCAUACCUGGUAGUGUACCAUCAACAUCUAGAUCUCUGGAGGGGACUAGAGGGACAAUUCCUUCAGGUGCCAAGCUGGGUUUCUGAAGGGAAAGCUCUUAUCCAAAUCUCAGAAGAUAAUUUAAGAAAAGCCACAGUGCUCUCUGAGCUCCUUCACCAAAGGCCAUGCCAUUCCCAGCUUAUGGGCUGUGUUGGAGGUGUCCUGCCUCUUUGGAGGGGUGAUCCAGGUACAGCAGGGCUCUCUGGUCCAAAGCUCCUGUUUCUCAAGAUGUUGUCAAAGGCAGUGCUUGAGGAAGGCCAUCAACUCCCUGAUCAAGAAGAUGAUACAGGGAGAAAAAUCUUUCAAACCUGUCAAGCAGGAGUUCCCUAGGGCAACUACUAUUUAUGGGUCUUGCAAAUGGAAAAUUUCAAUGUCACUGCUGGGCCACUGCCACCAACCAUUGUAGGGUGAUGAGCUGCCCUCACCUCCUCCCUCCCUCCGCUUCCUUGUACAGUCAUUGCUGGGCUUUGAGAAGACUGCUGAAUACCAAUGGUGUGAUAAGGUCUUGGAGGUGAAAACUGAGGCCGUGUCAGACUGCAGGGCCACUUAGUCUGCCCUUGGCCACCUUGAACUUGCAGAUCUAGGUUACAAAAACAGUACCAGUCACUGACCUAUGUGCCAGGCCCCCAAUCCUCUCUGGCCCUUUACCUUCUCCCACACUGGAGAUUGGUUAUGAAGUGAGAUGUACUGUUCCUAAUUCUUUUUGCUGUUUAUUCCCCUUUAGGUUUAAGCUCCCUUAGGGGUUCCACUUAGGAGGAAGAAUCUGAUUCCUUGCAUCCCUGUGCCUCAGCCAUAGCUGCAGCACAUUCUACUUUGAUCUCCCUACAUCUGGAUACUUUUCUUCAAGCCUGCCUCCUGCAGAACGGAGUCUCUACACUUAUGGUUAGAGAUUCUCCUCCUUUUAUCUGACAGACCCCUUCUACAGUCACCUCCACCAGUACCUAGUCUUUGCUUGCCAGUUCAUCAUUGCUUUUGGAGAUACAUUGACCACCACAACAGGCACAUCUGCAUACUUAGAACUUUGGUGUCACUGACAUGGCGCCACUUAUUCCCAUGAUUUCACCUUGAGGUCUCUCCCAGAUUCUAGGGGGAACUUUUCCCCAUUUUUCUAUGGCACUUCCUGGAACUGAGAACUUGUCACCCUAGUGGCAGCAUUGCCUCAGACCUGGUUUCUACCAGCCUGCCUGCAGGUGCUCUAGGCCCUUGUGUCUCCAUUUAAAAUGAGGCCACCUAGACUUCUUUCACUCCCCCACCCCCUGGCUAAAACACAGGGGGUACAAGGGACUUCCCUUUCUGCAUAUAGUCAGUAUACUUGUUCUCCCUUAUGCCCCUUGAUGCCCCCGGCUACAGGGUGAGUUCCAUUUCUUUUGCCUAGGUCAUUUGUGAGGAGCAGAUAUCUUCUGCAAAGGCUCCAUGCUCUACUAACCUAUUUGAAGGUAUGAUCAGCAGCCUUACCAUAAACUCUCAACCUUCCCUUGGACCCAGGAGCUCACAUUUGGGGCCUCUAAUGGGGCCCAAUGAGUGGUAUUGGCCUUUCUGAACACUCUGUAUCCAAGCCUACCUUUGACUCUGAUGAAAUUGACAUUGAUACCACACCCCCUCCCUAGGCUGUCAUCUCUGGUCUCCUCCAUCUCCAGUGAUGGCAUCUCCCCAUUUCCCAUGGAGCUUCUUGGUUCUGAGAACACACUACCCAGUGGCAGUAUUGCCUCAGAUCUAGUUUCCAUUAGCUUUCCCAGAGUCAGUGCAUGCCUCAAAUGCAACUUUCAAGCUCCCUUUGACUCAGGAAUCAAUCUGCAGCCCAUAUUUGGGGCCCUUGAUCAGCUGGGACCAUGAAUUUUGGCAAUUCUUUUCCUUUUGGAAAGUAGGCAGCCCCAGCACAACCUCCUAAUUUAACCCGUGCUUAGACACCCCAUGAUAGCACAGCUCAAUCAGCUGUGUGACAUCCCCAUUUUCCCACCUUUGGUAUCCCCGUCAGCACCCAGCCAGCCUAUGGAGAAAUCCCAGGUGUCUUUCUCAUCGGGAUAAUCAUUGUUUCUGGUUUUAGAGCCAUCACCAAAGUGCCCAGCACAGGACAGUAGCUCAGCAUUUGCUAACACCACUGCAGACCCAUUUGUGUUUCUGAGAUCUACAGACUUUGAGUAGAGGCAGUUUUGGGGUGAGAGUGGCUGCCAUUUUGGAUCACUUGGCUUUGGUGCAAGGCCAAGCAGACACUAGUUCCCUAGGGUGAAGAUAUUUGAUACCUAAGCACCAGAGUCCUGCCAGUCUAUAGCGCCCUAUUGCAAAUGGAGAAUCUACUUCUACAGAAAGCAAACCUGUCCUGAGGGACACUUUUCUUCCUGCCUAUAGUCAGAGCACUUGGGAAAGUCAAGGUGACGACACAUCUGUGACUACUGGAGAAGUCUGCACCACUGAAAAGAAAUGAGUGCUGGGACACAUUUGUUCUUCCUGGUGGUCAAGUCAGCUGGACAAGAGCACACUGGCUGUAGUCAAGGGAACCAGCAUUAUACUUGUGUUGGAUGAUACUUCUCUUUCCGCCUUGUUAGAGUUCACAUGGUCACAGCACACGUGCUGGUAUGGGAAUGAUCAAUACCCUGGAGACACUUUUUCAUGCCUACAAUCAGGGCAUGGGUCUGUACUUUGUCCGAGUUCACAGCUGGCACUGUGCCCUUCCAUACCUGCAGGUCCUUAUGUCCCAUCCUACAGAGAGCUGGCAUCCAAGUGAUACAAUGGAUGGGAACAUCACCGGACUUGUGACUGGGGGCCUUCCCUCCAUCAUUCUGAGCUCCUGGGUUGCUCAGGAUCAAAGCACUUUUGCUAUAGUCAAAGGGACAAUGCCAUACAUUUUUAGGGAGACAUUUGUACUUUUGCCUGCCACCUAGUCAUGUUUGUCUCCUUUGACUUAUGGGGAGAAAGCAUAAUGAGAAAAUACCUGUGUUUUGAGGCACUUUUGCUCUUACCUUUGGUCAGAGUAAUUCCAAGCCUGGUGUAGUCACCACAGCCUCAGCCUUGUCUUUGUGGUACCUUCAUUGCCACGUAGGAUGUAGGAGGUCGAUGUGCAGGAUCACAUCUCUUCAUUUUCUUCUAGUGCAAGAUGCAGGAUCUCAGCAAAUAAGGAACAAAAGCUUCCAUGAAUGGAACUUGCUCUGCUGGGGAGAGGCUUAAUCUUUUCUAAGUUAAACAAAGUUAAUCUUGCCUGAUCUUUCUACUACAAACUGGAGGUCUGAAACCUCUGUAUGUGUCAGGGGGUGUGCAGCCGGUGAGGCUGAUCAGGACUUAAGAAGUUCCAUGGUAGAGAGUUGAAGAGAGCUCUGUAGACAUCAUCAACCAAGACCUUCCUGACUUUGGACUUUAGCCUGACCCACCCAGCUUCUUGUUCUGGAACCCUGCUGCCUACAGUUGCUUCAUUCUCCUCAUUUGCCUCAAUGGGCCAUUUGGUACUUUGUCCUGGAUUAUCUAUAUAAAGCCAUGGUCUUGCUAAUCCAUUCUCCUGUCUUUGCUCUUGGACUCAACACUGACAUGUAUGAAUGGUGUGUGAUGUGAUUGGCCACACCUAACUAUGCAGUUUUCUGUGCUCCAGCAAAUAGUGGAUGCUCCCACACUUUUAUGACUUCACAUGUGACUUCUGUUGUCUCUUUGUUUGUAGCAUAAGGGAUGGUAACCCAGGAAAAUGUGAGAUGCAGAGGAUGGAGAGACAGAUAAAGGAAGGUUUGUCACAUGGGAAAUGCCUAAGAAGUACCCCCAUCAGUGCUUCCAGGAGUCUCCUGAUAUGAAAUGUGAAUAGCAGAAUCACAAGUAAAAAUGGCCUUGCACCACUAAACCAUACCAAAUGAGUAAAAUGCAGGUAAUGGGACAGGACAAUGUCCCAUUCAUUAUCUCUCAUGACCAUCACAGCAGUUUGGAGGUGGACUGGUGGCUGCCCCAGGUCACACAGUUAGACACAGGGAUGAAGCUUUCUGAGGGUACCUUCUUUCAUUUACCUGCUGAAAACAAUUGGGAUGACAGACCAUGAAUAACUUGUUAUAUUUGGGCAUUGAGAUCAUAACUGAUAAUCUAGUUGGUAAUGAGAUUUUUGAACUUGAUGAAAUUUAAUUCUGGGGUUAUUGCUUCUGACUUGAAGAAUUUAGACCACUAACUUGAGUGGGAAUGUGUUUCUGCUUGGUUGGAGCUUGCUUAGGCUUUGCAGUUUCUGGUACCUCAAGUAUUAUUGGGCAAAAUUCAAUGAAUCUGGCUCUGUAGAACUUUUGAGAGAUGUUCCAUCCCCAGGCAGUGUAUGAGCACUCAGAGGGAGGAGUUCCAUAGACUUCAG